rnacentral:rRNA from 1 species
UCGCACGAGGCUCCAUUCCUGUAGUAAUACAGCAGGGAAGACCUAGCUGGCGCAACGGGAUGAGGUAACACGUGAGGAACCUGCCCCGAACUUUGGGAUAACAGUUGGAAACGACUGCUAAUACCGAAUGCCGUUACUAAGUGGCAUCACUUUGUAACGAAAGAAUUUCGGUUCGGGAGGGCCUCGCGGCCUAUCAGCUAGUUGGUGGGGUAACGGCCUACCAAGGCAUCGACGGGUAGCUGGUCUGAGAGGAUGAUCAGCCACACUGGGACUGAGACACGGCCCAGACUCCUACGGGAGGCAGCAGUGGGGAAUCUUGUGCAAUGGGUGAAAGCCUGACACAGCC